rnacentral:tRNA from 5 species
GGGCCCGUAGCUCAAUUGGUAGAGCGGAUGAUUGAUACCCAUCAGGUUGGGGGUUCAAAUCCCCUCGGGUCCACCA